rnacentral:rRNA from 1 species
UAGAAUGCGGGGGGGAAUUGCCUCGGCCUCGCCUCGUUUUAGAUUGAACAUUAUAUUAUUUGGAACUGAGCUGGUAGUAGGAACUCCCUCUAGAUGCUAGUCGAGAUAUAUAGUAUCUGUCCUCCGUCCAGUAGUCAUACUCUCGUCUCAAAGAUUAAGCCAUGCAUGUGUUAGUAUAUAUUUGUACUUGAGACUGCGAAUGGCUAUCUCUAUCAGAUAUAGUAGAUAGAGGAAAUGUCCUACUUGGAUAACCGUAGUAUUUGUAGAGUUAAUGCGUGAUCAAUUCCUUGAGGAGAGGAGGUGUAUUUAUUAGAAAGAAAACCUAUAGUCUCAGUAUAUUGAGGAGUAAUAACCUCUCAUCUUAUCGCUUGUAUAGGUAGCGAAGUUUUUUCUAAUUUUUUCCCCUUUCACCUUUCGAGGGUAGUGUAGGGGAUUCCCAGGCCAGAACGGGGAAAAAAAAAAUUGGGUUUGGUUUUGGGAGGGGGCCCCGGAGAGGGGGUUCCCCCUCCCAGGAAGGCCCCCGGGCGGGAAAUUUCCCCAUCCCGCACACGGGGGGGUAGGCCCAAAAAUCCACAAUGGGGACUUUUAGUUUUGCAAUUGGAUUGAGAACAAUGCACAACAGUUAUCGAUAAACAAUUGGAGGGCAAGUCCUGGUGCCAGCACCCGCGGUAGCCAUCACAAAUACUG